AAGUCGUAACAAGGUUUCCGUAGGUGAACCUGCGGAAGGAUCAUUAACACUUUUGAAAGAUUUCAUUUUUCUUUUUCGAAAAAUGAAAUUUUACUUUACCCACAUUUUUGGAUGAAUUAACUUUUAUUAACCCUUCAUAAUUUUUAUACCCCAAAAACAAAACUAAUACUAUUUAUUUCUAACAUUUAUUUAAGAAAAAACAUAAAAAACAACUCUUAACAACGGAUAUCUAGGCUCUC
rnacentral:misc_RNA from 1 species